UUACGACCAGAUCAAGUUGAAACAUCAGUUCUUGUACGAUCACUGAAGUUAAACAACGUCGACCUUGGUCAGUACCUAGAUUGGUGACCGCUUGGGAAUAUUAGAUGCUGUAAG